rnacentral:rRNA from 1 species
AAUACCCGAUGUUGUCCACAUAUGGCAUCUGACGUGGACCAAAGAUUCAUAGGUGGAGGAUGGGGAUGCGUCUGAUUAGCUUGUUGGUGCGGGUAACGGCCCACCAAGGCGACGAUCAGUAGGGGUUCUGAGAGGAAGGUCCCCCACAUUGGAACUGAGACAUGGUCCAAACUCCUACGGGAGGCAGCAGUGAGGAAUAUUGGUCAAUGGACGUAAGUCUGAACCAGCCAAGUAGCGUGCAGGAUUGACGGCCCUAUGGGUUGUAAACUGCUUUUGUUGGGGAGUAAAGUGAGGCACGUGUGCCUUUUUGCAUUUACCCUUCGAAUAAGGACCGGCUAAUUCCGUGCCAGCAGCCGCGGUAAUACGGAAGGUCCAGGCGUUAUCCGGAUUUAUUGGGUUUAAAGGGAGUGUAGGCGGUCUGUUAAGCGUGUUGUGAAAUUUAGGUGCUCAACAUCUACCUUGCAGCGCGAACUGGCGGACUUGAGUGCACGCAACGUAUG